GCAUAUCAAUAAGCGGAGGAAAAGAAAAUAACAAUGAUUUCCCUAGUAACGGCGAGUGAAGAGGAAAGAGCUCAAAGUUGGAACCUGUUUGGCUUAGCUAAACCGGAUUGUAAACUGUAGAAGUGUUUUCCAGACACGCCUGGUAAAAAAGUCCUUUGGAACAGGGCAUCAUAGAGGGUGAGAAUCCCGUCAUUGGCCAGAGCUGUUGUCUUUUGUGAUACAUUUUCAAAGAGUCAGGUUGUUUGGGAAUGCAGCCUAAAUUGGGUGGUAAAUCUCACCUAAAGCUAAAUAUUUGCGAGAGACCGAUAGCGAACAAGUACCGUGAGGGAAAGAUGAAAAGAACUUUGAAAAGAGAGUUAAACAGUAUGUGAAAUUGUUAAAAGGGAACCGUUUGGAGCCAGACUGGCUUAACUGUAAUCAAUCUAGGCUUUGGCCUGGAUGCACUUGCGGUUUAUGCCGGCCAACGACAGUUUUGUUUGAGGGAAAAAAUUACAUUGAAUGUGGCCCUUCGGGGUGUUAUAGCUUUGUAAAAAAUACCUUGGACUGGACUGAGGAACGCAGUGAAUGCCUUUAGGCAAGAUUGCUGGGUGCUUUCGCUAAUAAAUGCUAGAAUUUCUGCUUCGGGUGGUGCUAGUGUUUAAAGGAGGAACUCGCUUAGUAUAUUUUUUAUUCGCUUAGGUUGUUGGCUUAAUGACUCUAAAUGACCCGUCUUGAAACACGGACCAAGGAGUCCACCAUAAGUGCGAGUAUUUGGGUGACAAACCCAUAUGCGCAAGGAAACUGAUUGAUACGAAGGCUUUAAGCUGGCAGUAUCACCCGGCGUUGACGUUUUAUACUGAACUGACCGAGGUAAAGCACUUAUGAUGGGACCCGAAAGAUGGUGAACUAUGCCUGAAUAGGGUGAAGCCGGAGGAAACUCCGGUGGAGGCUCGUAGCGAUUCUGACGUGCAAAUCGAUCGUCAAAUUUGGGUAUAGGGGCGAAAGACUAAUCGAACCAUCUAGUAGCUGGUUCUGCG
rnacentral:rRNA from 1 species